rnacentral:rRNA from 1 species
CCCUACGGGGCGCAGCAGUGGGGGAUAUUGCACAAUGGGGGCAACCCUGAUGCAGCGACGCCGCGUGAGCGAUGGAGUACUUCGGUAUGUAAAGCUCUGUCAGCAGGGAAGAGAAUGACGGUACCUGACCAAGAAGCCCCGGCUAAAUACGUGCCAGCAGCCGCGGUAAUACGUAUGGGGCAAGCGUUAUCCGGAAUUACUGGGCGUAAAGGGCGCGUAGGUGGGCGCUUAAGUCAGGUGUGAAAACUCCGGGCUCAACCUGGAGACUGCACUUGAAACUGGGUGUCUUGAGGGCAGGAGAGGAA